rnacentral:rRNA from 1 species
CAAUAGCGUAUAUUAAAGUUGUUGCGGUAAAAAAGCUCGUAGUUGGAUUUCUACCGAAGAUAGCCGGUCGGGUCUUCGACCUUGUAUCUGGUUUUGUCUUUGGUAUCCUCAUAGGGAACGUUUCUGCGCUUUAUUGCGUGGUGCGGUAUCUAUGACUUUUCCUUUGAGGAAAUUAGAGUGUUCACGGCAGGCAAACGCCUUGAAUAUAUUAGCAUGGAAUAAUAACAUAGGAUCUUCGUCCUAUUUUGUUGGUUUCUAGGGCUAAGAUAAUGAUUAAUAGGGAUAAUUGGGGGCAUCUGUAUCAACGCGUCAGAGGUGGAAUUCUUGGAUUGCGUUGCGACAAACUACUGCGAAAGCAUUUGCCAAGGAUGUUUUCAUUGA